UCAUCAGUGAGGUCAUCGUGCCCUCGUUUAUUGCGCUGAAUCUGUCCAAUGAUGGGUACUUCCUGCCCUUUGGUGCAAUUGAGACGGACCGCCAACUGCUGGACUUCAUGGAUGGCGUUCUUGCUGGAAGUGUGGAGUGUCAAGGUGGAAACAGUGUUGUUCAACGCUUUAGGCGUUUUGUUUUUGACAUCAAAGCCAUUCUUAAGCCGCUGUUCAUCGAGGCGCCUCUCUUUGGGUGUCUCCUCUUUGCCUUCCCAGUCACCCUUGG
rnacentral:lncRNA from 1 species